UUGAUUUUAUACUUUUUUUUUUUUUUCCGUUUCAUUUAUUAUUACCGUGGUCCAAUUAUACUAUUGUUUCGUCAACGACAACAUGCGCAUGCAUAAGAUGCAGAGACGGGUCACUGAAAUCCGUCAGUAACGAGAUCGUUCAACGAAACCGACUUAAAGUUACCGCAUUUUACCACUCGACGACAAUUAGUGUUAGACAAUUUAAAAAUGACACAAGGCAUUCUACCGAAAGAUUCACAUGCUCAGAAGCAUACUAACACCGAUAUGACGGAAAGGUAGUGUAUGGAUAUGACCUGGGCUUGUAUUGGCAAAAAAUAAAAUUCAGCGAGGACUAUGAUACCUACACAAUUUCAAACAUCAUCCUGUAAAUUUACUUGGCUGUGCAUACGUUGGGAAAAUCGUAGAAAACAAAACACAUCAUAUACCUUAAAUGCUCUGAUUCUAAAGAUAAUCGUAAUGAUAAAUCACUACUAGUUAUGGAGGAAUUUGUAUCACACUUUUGACGGUUAUCGCUCUACUUGGAAUUCAGAGCUCCGGCAAACGCACCACACUACCUUUGUAAUUGCAUUCCGCGUGAUGUAAAAUAAACGAUCUACAUUUUACCGAUGAAAUUUCGUUGCGUUUCUCAUGGCUAACCGAUGAAAACCCUCGUAAGCAUAGAGAUUGUAUAUGAUGGCUAUUGAAGAACACGAGAUUUAUAAUUUCGGAAUCACUCAACCUAUUGUUGCCGUCAAGAGAGUUCAAUGGAUGAUGGAUUUCCGUCGUGGGAGGAGUUUCGACUUUUCGAAUGAAUAUUAAAUAAACGAACAGUAAAAACAAAAUAAACCAUUCAAUGCGAUACUUACAGGUGCACUUUUUCGAUUUGUAGUAUGAGCAUGAUACAACUAAAAAUUAAUGUCAAUGUGGCUCAUAAAACGAUUAAACAUAAUGCAUAGUAUUAAAUUAGAAUAAAAAAGUAUUGUAAAA